AUUGAACGCUGGCGGCAGGCCUAACACAUGCAAGUCGAGCGGAUGAAGAGAGCUUGCUCUCUGAUUUAGCGGCGGACGGGUGAGUAAUGCCUAGGAAUCUGCCUGGUAGUGGGGGAUAACGUCCGGAAACGGGCGCUAAUACCGCAUACGUCCUACGGGAGAAAGCAGGGGACCCUCGGGCCUUGCGCUAUCAGAUGAGCCUAGGUCGGAUUAGCUAGUUGGUGAGGUAAUGGCUCACCAAGGCGACGAUCCGUAACUGGUCUGAGAGGAUGAUCAGUCACACUGGAACGGAGACACGGUCCAGACUCCUACGGGAGGCAGCAGUGGGGAAUAUUGGACAAUGGGCGAAAGCCUGAUCCAGCCAUGCCGCGUGUGUGAAGAAGGUCUUCGGAUUGUAAAGCACUUUAAGUUGGGAGGAAGGGCAGUAAGUUAAUACCUUGCUGUUUUGACGUUACCGACAAAAUAAGCACCGGCUAACUUCGUGCCAGCCGCCGCCGUAACAC
rnacentral:rRNA from 1 species